AUUUAGCAGACAUGCGUUAGGGAUAGCAGCGGAAAUCCUUUUGAGAGGAACGAACAAAAGAUUGCAGCGGAUAGCCCGACCCGCA
rfam:Bacteroidetes bacterium RIFCSPLOWO2_12_FTLL_35_15 rifcsplowo2_12_scaffold_201, whole genome shotgun sequence.